UGUGUGGGCAGCAGCUGGGAGUGUAAAGAAAGCCAUCUAGUUUUUCUCUACCUUUGUCUCUGCAGUGCACCCACUGCUGUUCUCAACAUUCUCAAUAUUAACCAAGAAGCUGUCUGGGGUCUCAUCAUCCUCCUGAGAUGUUCAGGUAAAAAAGCCAUGCGUGGGGUCCUCAGGGGAACACGGAACGGAGCGGCACCGAGAAGAGACCGGCCUCCUCCUGAUGAUAAAAAAGGAGAGGAUCUGAGUGCAGGACAUGAGAAGGUGGGGACAGAGACGGGAUCACAGCUUGGGACUCAGCUGGAAAACGCUGCAGCUGUUUGUUCUUUGUGCGGAUCAUCUUUCCCUCUAUUCUUCCCCGGGCUGCACAAACCUAGAGGGAUAAAAAAGUUUUUGACUGACGUUACCUCACAGCGUCACGUAUUUCAGUGACUGGUCUGGUGAAGUCUGCAUGCUAACGCGUCUCUUAAAACCAGCUAACAGCUCAUCAAAUGUCAUCUAAUCCGAAAUCGCUUUGUGGACUAACUGUAGAAUGAACCCAAUCACAAAAUGUAUUUUAUAUAUGAUUUUAAUUUAAUAUGAUAAUUUAAUUACCAGCUAUAAGUUGUGAUAGCUUACUCAAACUCGACCAGAAAAGUAAACAAAUCAAACGUUUUCUUCAUUUAUUUAGGGCAAAGACUGAACUGCACGUGCGCCCCCGUGCGACACGGAGGAAGAGCUGAAGGUUCUAUGUUUAUUUCAGUGUAAUUUCUGUUCUUCACUGCAAAGAGACGCUGUUGACUUUAUCAUAGCCAAUAACCCUCUCUGCUUCCUAAGAAGCUGGGAUAUGUUUUCACUGUGUUCACUUUUAUAUGUGAAAAAUAAAGGCUCCUUCUAAUUCUA